rnacentral:misc_RNA from 1 species
GAAAUGCGAUAAUUAAUGUGAAUUGCAGAAUUCAGUGAAUCAUCGAGUCUUUGAACGCACAUUGCGCCCCCUGGUAUUCCGGGGGGCAUGCCUGUCCGAGCGUCAUUGCUGCCCUCAAGCACGGCUUGUGUGUUGGGCUUCCGUCCCUGGCAAAGGGGACGGGCCCAAAAGGCAGUGGCGGCACCAUGUCUGGUCCUCGAGCGUAUGGGGCUUUGUCACCCGCUCCCGUAGGUCCAGCUGGCAGCUAGCCUCGCAACCAAUCUUUUUAACCAGGUUGACCUCGGAUCAGGUAGGGAUACCCGCUGAACUUAAGC